GUAGGGAAUAGAAGCAGUGGUGCAAUGUGUGUGAAAGGUUCAGUGUGUGUGUGGGGGUGUAGUGUGUGAAUGUGUAGGGUGUGUGGGCAGUGUAUGUGUGUGGCAAUGUUAGUAUGGGGGCUGUGUAUGGGGGUCUGUGUGUAUAUGGGUGGGCAGUGUAUGUGUGUGUGUGAGGCAAUGUGUGUAAAUGUGUAUGGUGUGUAUGGGGGCAGUGUGUGAAUG